GACGAACGCUGGCGGCGCGCUUAACACAUGCAAGUCGAGCGAUGAAACUUUAACAGAACCCUUCGGGGCGAAGAUAAAGUGGAUUAGCGGCGGACGGGUGAGUAACACGUGAGUAACCUGCCUUAGACAUUGGGAUAGCCUCGGGAAACCGGGAUUAAUACCAAAUAAAAUCAUAAUGACACAUGUCAUAACGAUCAAAACUCCGGUGGUCUAAGAUGGACUCGCGUCCCAUUAGCUAGUUGGUAGAGUAAAAGCCUACCAAGGCGACGAUGGGUAGCCGGCCUGAGAGGGUGAACGGCCACAUUGGAACUGAGAAACGGUCCAAACUCCUACGGGAGGCAGCAGUGGGAAUCUUCCGCAAUGGGCGAAAGCCUGACGGAGCAACGCCGCGUGAGUGAUGAAGGUCUUCGGAUCGUAAAACUCUGUUAUUAGGGAAGAACAUAUGUGUAAGUAACUGUGCACAUCUUGACGGUACCUAAUCAGAAAGCCACGGCUAACUACGUG
rnacentral:rRNA from 1 species